rnacentral:lncRNA from 1 species
CCUGUAGGCACUUCUGUCACAGCAGGGGGCUAUGUCUCUGGAAGGCAAACAGUUCAGGGUGAUUUAAAGCCCUAUUCUCCCCUUGCCUUGUAGUGAAAGGGAAACCCAGUAGCCACACAUCUAUCCCAUGUUGGCCUGGAAAGCCCAGUGCUAAGCAGCUGUUCAUUUUUUAUUCUAUAGAAAUAGUGUCCUCAGGAAUGGGCUUCUAGUGCUUUAGGGCCACAUUGAUGCUUCCAAGCUUAGUUGGGGAGAUAAUGCUCUAUAGUUCCAUUUUCCUUUUUUGCAUUUUAGGUGACACUGGAGAAUUAUCUGGAACAACCAUUAUAUCUGAAAAUUCCACCACAGCAGGCAUCACUGCAGCAACAGGGAAGCAAGCAGGCACCUCGGAGGUAGCUCCUUCCACAACAGUUGCCCCAGGAAGUUUCAGCACAGGUGAGUCUACUCUGUGGUGGGGAAUCCUUUCAUGGGUGCUUGCUACAGUAACAUGCCUUUCCUUUUGGUGCUUCUAUGCAGGAGCUCCACCAUUCCAUUCCAUGCCCCCUGAAUCUUUUCCAUUUGUGUCUUUCUUCUUCCAGCAGCCAUAACUUCUCCUGGAGCAAGUGGAACGACUGAGGUUACAACAACUACAAGUAAGAACUGACAAUCCACUACCUCCUCCACAGUAGGUCACAUUGCUUCAAUCACAUCUACCAUUUGUACGUCCUGUGAAGAGCAUUUUUGUUGGAAAAAAAAACACUAUUCCAAAUAGACAAGAUUUUACCUAAUACAUAAAUGUCAGACACUCAAAUACUUUUAUCUUCCUUUCCUCUGCUUCAAGGAGACUUCACCAUGGAGCUAAGGCACUGAACAUCAGUUGUGUGAUUGGAGAGAAAAGUCUUUCUUUCCCUCAAUGAUAUAUAAAGGAAAUAAUAGCUAUUAACAUUUUUCUCAUUAAAUAUUCUGUAGAAAUGGUGCAUGCAAAACAUAUAGAUUAACUCCUGGUCUAGAAACCUCUGAAAGAGCUUGCUGAC